rnacentral:rRNA from 1 species
UACAGAGGUCUCGAGCGUUAGGCGGAAUCACUUGGCUUAAAGCGUGUGUAGGCGGGUCGUUAAGUGCCUUGUGAAAUCCCAUGGCUCAACCAUGGAACUGCUGGGCAUACUGGCGAUCUUGUGCAACCUAGGGGCGAGCGGAACAGAUGGUGGAGCGGUGAAAUGCGUAGAUAUCAUCUGGAACGCCAAUGGUGAAAACAGCUCGCUGGGGGUUUGCAGACGCUGAGACACGAAAGCCAGGGGAGCGAACGGG